rnacentral:rRNA from 1 species
GCAGACGGGUGAGUAAUGUAUAGGAUCUACCUAGUAGUACGGAAUAAUUGCUGGAAACGGCAACUAAUACCGUAUACGCCCUACGGGGGAAAAAUUUAUUGCUAUUAGAUGAGCCUAUAUUAGAUUAGCUUGUUGGUAGGGUAAUGGCCUACCAAGGCAAUGAUCUAUAGCUGAUCUGAGAGGAUGAUCAGCCACACUGGAACUGAGAUACGGUCCAGACUCCUACGGGAGGCAGCAGUGGGGAAUAUUGGACAAUGGGCGAAAGCCUGAUCCAGCCAUGCCGCAUGAGUGAAGAAGGCCUUCGGGUUGUAAAGCUCUUUUAGUGAGGAAGAUAAUGACGGUACUCACAGAAGAAGUCCUGGCUAACUCCGUGCCAGCAGCCGCGGUAAUACGGAGAGGGCUAGCGUUAUUCGGAAUCAUUGGGCGUAAAGGGCGCGUAGGCGGAUUAGUAAGUUAAAAGUGAAAUCCCAAGGCUCAACCUUGGAAUUGCUUUUAAAACUGCUAGUCUAGAGAUUGAAAGAGGAUAGAGGAAUUCCUAGUGUAGAGGUGAAAUUCGUAAAUAUUAGGAGGAACACCAGUGGCGAAGGCGUCUAUCUGGUUCAAAUCUGACGCUGAGGCGCGAAGGCGUGGGGAGCAAACAGGAUUAGAUACCCUGGUAGUCCACGCUGUAAACGAUGAAUGUUAAAUAUGGGAAGUUUACUUUCUGUAUUACAGCUAACGCGUUAAACAUUCCGCCUGGGGACUACGGUCGCAAGAUUAAAACUCAAAGGAAUUGACGGGGACCCGCACAAGCGGUGGAGCAUGUGGUUUAAUUCGAUGCAACGCGAAAAACCUUACCACUUCUUGACAUGGAAAUUAUACCUAUUCGAAGGGAUAGGGUCGGUUCGGCCGGGUUUCACACAGGUGUUGCAUGGCUGUCGUCAGCUCGUGUCGUGAGAUGUUGGGUUAAGUCCCGCAACGAGCGAACCCUCAUCCUUAGUUACCAUCAGGUAAUGCUGGGGACUUUAAGGAAACUGCUAGUGAUAAACUGGAGGAAGGUGGGGAUGAUGUCAAGUCAUCAUGGCCCUUAUGAAGUGGGCUACACACGUGCUACAAUGGUGGCUACAAUGGGCUGCAAAGUCGCGAGGCUAAGCUAAUCCCUUAAAAGCCAUCUCAGUUCGAAUUGCACUCUGCAACUCGAGUGCAUGAAGUUGGAAUCGCUAGUAAUCGUGGAUCAGCAUGCCACGGUGAAUACG